rnacentral:rRNA from 1 species
GGUAUAGCCUUUAGAAAUGAAGAUUAAUCCCCCAUAGUCUCUUAGAGUGGCAUCACUUCUAGAGUAAAGGUUACGGUAUAAGAUGAGUAUGCGUUCUAUUAGUUUGUUGGUGUGGUAACGGCACACCAAGACUACGAUAGAUAGGGGCCCUGAGAGGGGGAUCCCCCACACUGGUACUGAGACACGGACCAGACUCCUACGGGAGGCAGCAGUGAGGAAUAUUGGACAAUGGAGGCAACUCUGAUCCAGCCAUGCCGCGUGCAGGAAGACUGCCCUAUGGGUUGUAAACUGCUUUUAUACAGGAAGAAACACCUCUACGUGUAGAGGCUUGACGGUACUGUAAGAAUAAGGAUCGGCUA